rnacentral:rRNA from 1 species
AGUGAACGCUGGCGGUAGGCCUAACACAUGCAAGUCGAACGGCAGCACAGAAAGAGCUUGCUCUUACGGGUGGCGAGUGGCGGACGGGUGAGGAAUACAUCGGAAUCUACUUUUUCGUGGGGGAGAACGUAGGGAAACUUACGCUAAUACCGCAUACGACCUACGGGGGAAAGCAGGGGAUCUUCGGACCUUGCGCGAUUGAAUGAGCCGAUGUCGGAUUAGCUAGUUGGCGGGGUAAAGGCCCACCAAGGCGACGAUCCGUAGCUGGUCUGAGAGGAUGAUCAGCCACACUGGAACUGAGACACGGUCCAGACUCCUACGGGAGGCAGCAGUGGGGAAUAUUGGACAAUGGGCGCAAGCCUGAUCCAGCCAUACCGCGUGGGUGAAGAAGGCCUUCGGGUUGUAAAGCCCUUUUGUUGGGAAAGAAAAGCAGCAGGUUAAUACCCCGCUGUUCUGACGGUACCCAAAGAAUAAGCACCGGCUAACUUCGUG